GGUAGCAUUCUAACAGUAAGACACAGUUGAGGAAGAAUUCACUCAGUUACCUGAUGGAAAGUUAUGCAGCCAUAGUAAUGAUUGUCCAAUCACUCGUUGAGCCAAUUAUAUUAUGAACACCUACCAUGUGUCAAACACUGCGUUCACAGCUAAGGACAUAAUGAUUGAGACAGAAAGAGUCUCCGCUCCAAAGACUUUCAAGUCUACUAUCAGCCACAAAUUGACGUGGAACAAAUAAUUACCCCCAGAAAUAUUUAUUUUGUGUGUCACUAAGUUUUAUUAAGAAAAUAAGCCGGUUGCCGUAGAGCGUAAACAAAGAAAAGGAACAAUCUGAUCUACAGAGGAGUAAUUAGUGAAGGCAUUUCUAGAGAAUGGCUGGGAGUUCGUAGAACACAGGGCAUUACGACAUCAGAAGAUGGAAAGUGGUUUAUGAAUGGGAUUUAUAUGGUAAGAUGCAAAUGUGCCCCUGCUGUGAUUUCAAUGAUGGGCUAGAGAAAUCCUAACAUUUAUGGAACCCGAAUAUGUGCCAGGCACUCAAGGCUUCGGGCCCUGGAGACACCUGUCGCAGGGAACGCCGGGCUGGGACGUUGGCUGCACACCCUGAAACCCAGCCACAGGUGCAGAAGCUACCACCUCUAAGAAUCACAGUGACACCUGCUGAGGGACCGGGACCAGGACUCCUUUCCCUGCUGGUGGCUCCCCGGGAGGCGGCCUCUGGAGUAGCCCUCAGGGGACUGCCUUGUGAAUAUUCAUGAUUCGUACUUUUCCCUGGUUCUCCCUCUGCCUUCGAGUACAGACCUUACAAAUAAGGAAUACUUCAUAUCACCUGGAUAUAGUGCUGAGCAACAUUUCUUGGACGUUCAUUAUCAUCCUGUACCACAUUUUGGUGUGUGAUGAUUGGCAUCUUAUUCAGCAGAAUGAUUCCACAUUGUGUGAAGCCCAGGGAUUUAGGAUGUAUGCAGAACUGGAUCUAAUCAUCCCAAUUCUAUUUCGUAUGUUGAAUUAUGCCAUGAUAAGCCACACAACAACCAAGUGAGGAUCCUGGUUUUGGCUCCCUCUUUGCAUCAUUUCCCACUACCUCCCCACAUCUGAGGCAUUAUUCUUUGCCGUCUUGCACUGGACUUCCAUUUUUUCCCCCUUUAUACGAUAGCCAGAGUGAUUCGCACAAAAAUAAAAAUCUGUCCA